CUUGAAAGAUAGAAGCACGCAGUCUGUCGUAACAGAAGGUGAUCACCUAGAGGUUGUCGGCUUUCAUGUCAUCAAUUUUUAUAUAUAUUCAUUUUCAAUGAACUUUUUAAAUAUUAAAAUUACUGUUGAUCUUCGAUAUCUUUGUAAACGUACUGUAUUGAAAAGGUGCAUGUUGUAAGCAGUAUUUCCAUACUAGCUUUUUGUACCGUCCAUUUCAAUCUUCUUUCAACAGUACGUUGUUUAUCUUUAUACUU